UCCAGGGGGAAGGACCAAGCCUGUCUCAUUGGCCAUCCUGUGUGUCAUGUCCUGUGACCCAGUGGAUGCUCAGCAUCCUCCAGCUGAAGAAGCAGAUUGCCUUAUAUACAUGAAAGGUGAGGACACCUACUAUCCCCAUGGAGCCCAGGUGGGGCUGGGAGUCUGCUGUUUGCACAGCCGGUGGGCUCGUGUUGCUUUGGGCAUCUCUGUGCCUGAAUUCUUGCAGUACACUCGGUGUGCAUUCCAUGGUGCAUCCUUGCCUAGAAUUUAGUGGAAGCAAGUCCAUCUCAGAAGGGACAUAACUGAAGAGGGAUGGCUUUCCAGACUCUGCAGGGCAGAGAAAGCACCAGCCUGGAGAACAGCAUCUCUGAGCCCAUCCCGGGUGACCUCACAGAGAUCACCCUAAUGACCC